CUGAUUUCAAGAAUUAAACUUGCAAGGUGCGUCUACCCAGAAGAUUAAUAUGAAUGAGAAAGAAAAACAAAUUCAUUGCUAAAGUUCAAGCUUUAAUGGUGUAACAAGUUGCUUCACUACUGAAAACUGCCAUCGAAACUACUAUAAUCAUCCACUGCCUAUGUAUCAGAUGAUAAGGUUCAGUCAUCAGUGUACGAGUUAGCUUUUCUUAUUUAUUGUCUCUGAAGAAUACAACCCAGUUGGGUAAUCCAUUUGCAGAAACGUUACACCUUUCGGUUUUGAUGGACUAAUGAUGAUGAUGAUGAUAACGUUAUAUCAUGAUACUAGCUCAUCAUGUCAGAUAUAACAAACACCUCUUUUUCUCUCUCUCUCUCUCUCUC
rnacentral:misc_RNA from 1 species